CCUACGGGAGGCAGCAGUGGGGAAUAUUGCACAAUGGGGGAAACCCUGAUGCAGCAACGCCGCGUGAGUGAAGAAGUAUUUCGGUAUGUAAAGCUCUAUCAGCAGGAAAGAAAAUGACGGUACCUGACUAAGAAGCCCCGGCUAACUACGUGCCAGCAGCCGCGGUAAUA
rnacentral:rRNA from 1 species